UACAGAGGUGGCGAGCGUUAUUCGGAAUUAUUGGGCGUAAAGGGCGCGUAGGCGGCCACGCAAGUCUUGGGUGAAAUCCCUCGGCUCAACCGAGGAACUACCUUGGAAACUGCAUGGCUCGAGGCCGGGAGAGGGUAGCGGAAUUCCCAGUGUAGCGGUGAAAUGCGUAGAUAUUGGGAGGAACACCGGUGGCGAAGGCGGCUACCUGGACCGGUUCUGACGCUGAUGCGCGAAAGCGUGGGGAGCAAACAGG
rnacentral:rRNA from 1 species